AACGAACGCUGGCGGCAGGCCUAACACAUGCAAGUCGAACGCCGUAGCAAUACGGAGUGGCAGACGGGUGAGUAACGCGUGGGAACCUACCUUACGGUCGGGAAUAGCUCAGGGAAACUUGGGGUAAUACCGGAUACGCCCUUACGGGGAAAGAUUUAUCGCCGUUAGAUGGGCCCGCGUAGGAUUAGCUAGUUGGUGAGGUAAUGGCUCACCAAGGCGACGAUCCUUAGCUGGUCUGAGAGGAUGAUCAGCCACACUGGGCCUGAGACACGGCCCAGACUCCUACGGGAGGCAGCAGUGGGGAAUAUUGGACAAGGGGCGCAAGCCUGAUCCAGCCAUGCCGCGUGAGUGACGAAGGCCUUAGGGUUGUAAAGCUCUUUUGGCGGGGAAGAUAAUGACGGUACCCGCAGAAUAAGCUCCGGCUAACUUCGUGCCAGCAGCCGCCGUAA
rnacentral:rRNA from 1 species